AACGAACGCUGGCGGCAUGCCUAACACAUGCAAGUCGAACGAGACCUUCGGGUCUAGUGGCGCACGGGUGCGUAACGCGUGGGAACCUGCCCUUAGGUUCGGAAUAACUCCCCGAAAGGGGUGCUAAUACCGGAUAAUGUCUUCGGACCAAAGAUUUAUCGCCUUUGGAUGGGCCCGCGUUGGUUUAGCUAGUUGGUAGGGUAAAAGCCUACCAAGGCGACGAUCCAUAGCUGGGCUGAGAGGAUGAGCAGCCACACUGGGACUGAGACACGGCCCAGACUCCUACGGGAGGCAGCAGUGGGGAAUAUUGGACAAUGGGCGAAAGCCUGAUCCAGCAAUGCCGCGUGAGUGAUGAAGGCCUUAGGGUUGUAAAGCUCUUUUACCCGGGAUGAUAAUGACAGUACCGGGAGAAUAAGCUCCGGCUAACUCCGUG
rnacentral:rRNA from 1 species